rnacentral:rRNA from 1 species
CAAUAGCGUAUAUUUAAGUUGUUGCAGUUAAAAAGCUCGUAGUUGGAUUUCGGGUGGGACGCAGCGGUCUCGCAUUGCGUUUGUACUGCUGCAGCCCUCCUUCUUGCCGGGGGCGGCCUCUCGGACUUCACUGUCUGGGGGUCAGAAUCGGCGAUGUUACUUUGAGUAAAUUAGAGUGUUCAAAGCAAGCUUACGCUCUGAAUAUAAUAGCAUGGGAUAACACGACAGGACUCUGGCCUAUCGUGUUGGUCUAUAGGACCAGAGUAAUGAUUAAGAGGGACAGUCGGGGGCAUUCGUAUUCCGUUGUCAGAGGUGAAAUUCUUGGAUUUAUUAAAGACUAACAUCUGCGAAAGCAUUUGCCAAGGAUGUUUUCAUUA